UACAGAGGGUGCGAGCGUUAAUCGGAAUUACUGGGCGUAAAGCGCGCGUAGGCGGUUUUGUAAGUCGGGGGUGAUAUCCCCAAGCUUAACUUGGGAACUGCAUUCGAGACUGCAUAGCUAGAGUAUGGGAGAGGGAAGUGGAAUUUCAGGUGUAGCGGUGAAAUGCGUAGAUAUCUGAAGGAACAUCAGUGGCGAAAGCGACUUCCUGGACCAAUACUGACGCUCAUGUGCGAAAGCGUGGGGAGCAAACAGG
rnacentral:rRNA from 1 species